CCUACGGGUGGCUGCAGUCGAGAAUCUUCGGCAAUGAGCGCAAGCUUGACCGAGCGACGCCGCGUGUGGGAUGAAGGCCCUCGGGUUGUAAACCACUGUCGUAGGGGAGGAAGGCUCCGUGAAGAGCGGGGCUUGACCUAUCCUAGGAGGAAGUACGGGCUAAGUUCGUGCCAGCAGCCGCGGUAAGACGAACCGUACGAAGGUUAUUCGGAAUUACUGGGCUUAAAGGGUUGCUUGGUAAGCUUGUAAGGAAAGCCCUCGGCUCAACCGAGGAAUAGCGCUUGAUACUGCAAGGCUUGAGGGAGACAGGGGUAAGCGGAACUGAUGGUGGAGCGGUGAAAUGCGUUGAUAUCAUCAGGAACACCGGUGGCGAAAGCGGCUUACUGGGUCUCUUCUGACGCUGAGGAACGAAAGCUAGGGGAGCGAACGGGAUUAGAUACCCUUGUAGUC
rnacentral:rRNA from 1 species